rnacentral:tRNA from 1 species
UGCCUCAGUCGCAUAAUGGUAUUGCGCUGGAUUGCUAAUCCAGGCCCUUCGGGGCUCGCAGGUUCGAUUCCUGCCUGAGGCGU